UGCGUAGGCGGAAUAUUAAGUCAGUGGUGAAAUCCUGCAGCUUAACUGUAGAACCGCCAUUGAUACUGGUAUUCUUGAAUUUAGUUGAGGUGGGCGGAACGUGUAAUGUAGCGGUGAAAUGCUUAGAUAUUACACAGAACACCGAUUGCGAAGGCAGCUCACUAAACUAACAUUGACGCUGAGGCACGAAAGCGUGGGUAGCGAACAGGAUUAGAUACCCUGGUAGUC
rnacentral:rRNA from 1 species